GAAACUGGGUAGCGCAGGGUAUUCCAACGAGCAAGUGGCUUUGGAAUAUUUGGAUGGCUAGAAGAGCCGGAAGGAGGUAAGUGAGUCAUGAUGAUCAAAUUUUGGUCUAGAAAGGCAGAAACAAAGACUGAUGCAGAUUCUGCAGUUAGUUACUGAGAAUAUAUCAUAUGAGAUAUACAUGCAUGCAUACGUAUAUACAUCUGAAGUUGUUUGGCUUUUUUACUACAGUAUAAAU